GACGAACGCUGGCGGCGUGCUUAAUACAUGCAAGUCGAACGGAAAGGCCCUGCUUUUGUGGGGUGCUCGAGUGGCGAACGGGUGAGUAACACGUGAGUAACCUGCCCUUGACUUUGGGAUAACUUCAGGAAACUGGGGCUAAUACCGGAUAGGAGCUCCUGCUGCAUGGUGGGGGUUGGAAAGUUUCGGCGGUUGGGGAUGGACUCGCGGCUUAUCAGCUUGUUGGUGGGGUAGUGGCUUACCAAGGCUUUGACGGGUAGCCGGCCUGAGAGGGUGACCGGCCACAUUGGGACUGAGAUACGGCCCAGACUCCUACGGGAGGCAGCAGUGGGGAAUAUUGCACAAUGGGCGGAAGCCUGAUGCAGUAACGCCGCGUGCGGGAUGACGGCCUUCGGGUUGUAAACCGCUUUCGCCUGUGACGAAGCGUGAGUGACGGUAAUGGGUAAAGAAGCACCGGCUAACUACGUG
rnacentral:rRNA from 1 species